UAACCUUAUGUUAGGUGAGUGACUCAUCUGCCUGCGUCACUCCCAUCAGUUGGGUACCGGAGUUAAAGCGUGUCGCGCUAAACACUGCCGGAUGAUGCCUAAUACUGAGCAGGACAGUAUGAGUGAUGGUGAGUUCUACAUGUAUGUGCUGCUGCAUUAAGGAAGCAGAGGGAGGUCAGAGUGCCAGUCAGCAGCCAGGGGGAAGACAGGAGGACGGUGAGCAUUCAACAUCAUGGGUGACGGGACGGAAAGCCAAGGAGAGUCAACCCAAACCUCUGUGUUCAGUUCUUUAAGCCUUUCCUCCACAUCUCGUCCUCUGCGUGCAUCGAGUGAUCUCUGAACCCCGCGCUUCCACGGCAACUCCCCUGUUGCCUUGUUUACAUGUUGUUGCCGCCGCCGUGUUCGCAGUGCGUUGAUCAUUAACAUCAUUAUAUGUCUAUGAUACUGCAUGUCGAGUCACAAAUCAACUUCCCUUCCAUCCUCUCCGUUGGUCUAAUGA